CAUGCAAGUCGGACGGGAUUUCACGUCUUGUACUAGUGACGAGUGGCGAAAGGGUGAGUAAUACAUAAAUAAUCUACCUCUAGGUUGGGGAUAGCUCUGCGAAAGUAGAAUUAAUACCGAAUAAUACAUCGUUGACAUAAGCCUUUGAUGUUAAAGGAGCAAUUCGCCUAGAGACGAGUUUAUGCCCCAUUAGCUUGUUGGUAGGGUAAGGGCCUACCAAGGCGAUGAUGGGUAGGUGGCCUAAGAGGGUGGUCACCCACAUUGGGACUGAGACACUGCCCAAACUCCUACGGGAGGCUGCAGUCGAGAAUCUUCCGCAAUGCGCGCAAGCGUGACGGAGCAAUGCCGCGUGAGGGAUGAAGGCUUUCGAGUCGUAAACCUCUGUCGCCCGGGACGAAUUUUGACGGUACCGGGAGAGGAAGCCACGGCUAACUACGUGCCAGCAGCCGCGGUGAUACGUAGGUGGCAAGCGUUAUUCGGAUUUAUUGGGCAUAAAGGGUUCGUAGGGGGCCUGUUAAGUCUGAUGUGAAAGCCCGAGGCUCAACCUCGGAAUUGUAUUGGAAACUAACAAGCUAGAGUAUAGGAGAGGAGUGUGGAAUUCCUGGUGUAGCGGUGGAAUGCGUGGAUAACAGGAGGAACACCAAAGGCGAAGGCAGCACUCUAGACUAUUACUGACCCUGAAGGACGAAAGCUAGGGGAGCAAACAGGAUUAGAUACCCUGGUAGUCCUAGCCGUAAACAUUGUACACUAGACGUGGGGAGAUUUUGUCCUCUCCGUGUCCAAGCUAACGCGUUAAGUGUACCGCCUGGGGAGUACGGCGGCAACGCUAAAACUCAAAGGAAUUGACGGGGACCUGCACAAGCGGUGGAGCAUGUGGCUUAAUUCGAGGCAACGCGAAGAACCUUACCUGGGCUUGACAUGUCCUUGACAGCCGUGGAAACAUGGUUUCUCUUCGGAGCAAGGUCACAGGUGCUGCAUGGCUGUCGUCAGCUCGUGUCGUGAGAUGUUCGGUUAAGUCCGGCAACGAGCGCAACCCGUGUCAUUAGUUGCCAGCAGGUGAAGUUGGGGACUCUAAUGAGACUGCCUGUUUUAAGCAGGAGGAAGGAGCGGAUGACGUCAAGUCAGUAUGGCCCUUAUGUCCAGGGCUGCACACGUGCUACAAUGACUAGCACAAUGAGAUGCAACGUCGCGAGGCGAAGCAAAUCUUUAAAACUAGUCUUAGUUCAGAUUGUAGUCUGCAACUCGACUACAUGAAGUUGGAAUCGCUAGUAAAGGCGUAUCAGCAACGACGCCUUGAAUACGUUCUCUGGUCUUGUACACACCGCCCGUCACAUCAUGGAAGCUGGAUGUACCCGAAGUCGUUGAUCUAACCGCAAGGAAGAAGACGCCGAAGGUGUGGCUAGUAACUAGGAUGAAGUCGUAACAAGGUAGC
rnacentral:rRNA from 1 species